rnacentral:tRNA from 1 species
AAUGAGGUGGCUGAGUGAAAUAGGCAUUAGAUUGUAAAUCUAAAAACGGGAUAAUAUCUCUUUCAUUA